rnacentral:rRNA from 1 species
CGGACGGGUGAGUAAUGUCUGGGAAACUGCCUGAUGGAGGGGGAUAACUACUGGAAACGGUAGCUAAUACCGCAUAACGUCGCAAGACCAAGAGGGGACCUUCGGGCCUCUUGCCAUCGGAUGUGCCCAGAUGGGAUUAGCUAGUAGGUGGGGUAACGGCUCACCUAGGCGACGAUCCCUAGCUGGUCUGAGAGGAUGAUCAGCCACACUGGGACUGAGACACGGCCCAG